CUGCCACUGAGGACACAAAAGAAGACGCAGAGAUGCCAAAAAGAGCAGCUUUGUCUGUGUGCUGUGCCACCAGCAGUGACACCACGGAACAGCAGUGCUCUAAGAGCAGAAGAUAAAAACAGAGAUCAUUUGAGAAAUUCAGCGAAACUUCAGGAGGCAUUAGCUCAGACAGAAUUCAUCCAAAACCAAGACUGAGGAUAGCUGGAAAGCUGGAUUCAGCCUGGAAUUUGUGACAACACCAGGAGGGAGGGCAAAGCGGCUGUCAUGAAGCAGUGUGGGCACCCAUCUCUCCAGCAGCAGAGAGCAAUCAGCUACCCACACUAACACCCUAACCCACGUUUCAGGCAGAAAACCAGCACUCCCAUCAGCACCCUUCAGAGCCCAUCUGUACAAUGGGGCUGAGAUAUUCCACUUCCUGCCUUCCCUCCAGGAUGGAAGCUGGCAGAUUCAACGUGCCUACAAAGCCUUCCCCAGAAACUGCCGCUAAGAGGGCAAAACUGUUAUUGUUAUUAUGAUUAGAAACCAAG
ensembl:lncRNA